rnacentral:lncRNA from 1 species
AUCGUGCCAAUCUAUUAGCAGUUUUGAAAGACAUGGAGGAGGAGAAACUAAAGCUAUCUGUGAAAGUGCAAAAUGCACGGCUUAGCUUAAAGGAGUAAAUCCUUUCAUUCAUUUUUCUUGUUUCAAAUGAUUGUGAAUAGAGUAAAUCCUUUCAUUUAUUUUUCUUGUUUCAAAUGCUUGUGAAUUUAGUCCUCAUUUAUGAGAAGCAUGAAGAUGAAAUAUACAUGGCCAGAAUUCAGCUAGCAUAUUUUUCUUCACCUCCAGUGAUGUUGGCGGAUCUAGGAUUUUCAUUAAGGAGGGUUCGACACGAUGAAUUUUGAAGCCCUUCAACCAAUUAAUCAACCUUUAAUCUUAUGUUCUGG